rnacentral:tRNA from 1 species
GCCUGAGUGGCUCAGUCGGUUGAGCGUCCGACUUCAGCUCAGGACAUGAUCUCACAGCUUGUGAGUUCCAGCCCCACGUCGGGCU